rnacentral:rRNA from 1 species
GACGAACGCUGGCGGCGUGCUUAACACAUGCAAGUCGAACGGAAAGGCCCUGCUUUUGUGGGGUGCUCGAGUGGCGAACGGGUGAGUAACACGUGAGUAACCUGCCCUUGACUUUGGGAUAACUUCAGGAAACUGGGGCUAAUACCGGAUAGGAGCUCCUGCUGCAUGGUGGGGGUUGGAAAGUUUCGGCGGUUGGGGAUGGACUCGCGGCUUAUCAGCUUGUUGGUGGGGUAGUGGCUUACCAAGGCUUUGACGGGUAGCCGGCCUGAGAGGGUGACCGGCCACAUUGGGACUGAGAUACGGCCCAGACUCCUACGGGAGGCAGAAGUGGGGAAUAUUGCACAAUGGGCGGAAGCCUGAUGCAGCAACGCCGCGUGCGGGAUGACGGCCUUCGGGUUGUAAACCGCUUUCGCCUGUGACGAAGCGUGAGUGACGGUAAUGUGUAAAGAAGCACCGGCUAACUACGUG